GAAGGAAGGAAGGAAGGAAGGAAGGAAGGAAGGAAGGAAGGAAGGAAGGAAGGAAGGAAGGAGUGGGGACAGAUGCAGGACAAGAGAAGAAGAAGCUAAAAUGUUAUACCUCUGAUGGAUUAAACACAACACUGGUCUUGAAGACAGGGAAUACGAGCAAUAGUCUAGGUGGAAUGCAGAGAAGAGCCAGAAAGAGCCAGAGACAAUGCCUGGAACAGGAAACCUCUGAUAUACCCUACCAGACCGAGGCAGAAAUUCCUUCCUUCCCCCCAAACUGUAAAUAGUUGCUCUGUCCUGCCUCCAUAACAGCCUGUCCAUUCUGCUGGCAAAAGGUCUGCAUGUGGCAUGAUGACAUAGCCACGGUGAACCUUUCUGGAUUACCAACACAUUUCUUUUUAAGUGGCCAGGUUAAUAUUAACCCAGUCAUUUCCCCAACAUCCAAGACUCCUGACCAGAAGCAGAAGGGCAUGUGCUGGCACAAAGAAGAGUGUGGCACAAAAGGAGGAAUGCAUGACUGGGCACACAGCAUACACCACUUCUUCUUGUGGCUGAGCUGGCUUAAAGCAUCCCUGAACCAUGGCUUUGGUUAGACAGAAAUCAGGAUGCAGUCUGUUAUGUUUUCCUCUUUAACCUGAGUUCAGAUGUAUGGUUCACAUCUUGCUGUGUAUUAUACUCCAGCUGUGCUACAAUAAUGGCACCUCUACCCUCUCAUCAGGCAGUAAUUUUGAAUUAAAAUGCCUCUUCUAGGGAUGGCUUCUAAAGUACAACACAUACCACCUCGUGAAUGCGGUAACCGAUAUGCCGACAUUCCAGAGUGCUAAAUAGGUGAGGAUGUUGGCUUUCAGGAACAAUCCCUUGCCAGAUAAUACUUCAUUAUCUGACAGACCAUCUGGUUUCCAGUCCAUCAAUGCUAUAUUACUACAGUCAGCUCGCUAUGCUUGAUUAUUGCCCAACAUUUGUAUUACUUUGUAAAUAAUAGAACUCAAAAAAAGAAAAAGAAUCUUCCACAGACUGAGCAAGACAAAUCACCACUUGCUUAUGUACUUGUCAUUGUCAUUUUUGGAUAAUGGCCAAACAGUGGAUUUUUGUCCAUGUGACUUGUGCAUUCAGAGUACAGCAUACCCCAUUGUUAUCAGGAGAAAGAUCACCAACUUUUAAUUGCACAAUAUAUAUAAACACAGCUGGCCUCGUGACUCAUUCUGUAAUGCAAUAUGUUACUCCCUAAAAUUCUGUUUCAGGUGUGACCUCAGGACUCCUUCUAUUCCAGUUGUUGAAGUCUCUGAGGUAUACAGUGAUAUACUCAUAGACUACCAGGAAUAUUUAAAUAAUAUUUUUUUCUUGGAUUUUAGGAGGAAUGUGAAUGAAAAGCUAUAUCUAUCGUAUAUCCUUUUGGUGUCUAUUCCAAGCACAGACUUAAGAAUGAAUAAUCAGAAGAAUGUGCAGUUUAUAAUUCCAUAAGCAAUGAUAGCUGAUCUCUUCACAAUAAAAUAGGCAUUUCUUCAGCGGGGGAAAUAUGACCAUGGCAACAUAAUGACAUUAGAGAACAAGUUUAGGAAGAACAAUAUU